rnacentral:rRNA from 2 species
AGGUCAAGCUACUAAUGUUUAUGGUGGAUGUCUUGGCACUAGGAGGCGACGAAGGACGUGAUAAGCUGCGAUAAGCUUCGGGAAGUUGCAAAUAAACUUUGAUCCGGAGAUUUCCGAAUGGGGGAACCUUUUUGGAGUAAUGUCCAAAAACAGUAAGCUGAAUACAUAGGCUUAUGUGAGCCAACCAGGAGAAGUGAAACAUCUCAGUACCCUGAGGAAAAGAAAAUAAUUCAAUGAUUCCCUAAGUAGCGGCGAGCGAAAGGGGAUGAGCCUAAACUAUGCAUGUGUUAAAGCCUGUAAGCGUUGCAUGUGUGGGGUCGUGAGAUCAAAAUCGAUGCUUUUACAGAAGUGUCAGUCUGUCAAAAAACUUUGUUAUAGUUGAAUUUUCUGGAAAGUUAAACCAUAGAAGGUGAUAGUCCUGUAAGCGAAAUGACAAAGUCAGACCUUUUUGAUUCUCGAGUACUGCGGAGCACGUGAAAUUCUGUAGGAAUCUGCCACAACCACGUGGUAAGGCUAAAUACUACCUAGUGACCGAUAGUGAACAAGUAAAGUGAUUGAAAGAUGAAAAGUACGCCUGUAAGGUGAGUGAAAUAGUACCUGAAACCGUAAACAAACAAGCAGUAGGAGGGCUAUAUCUAUGUAAAUAGAGAUGCCUGACUGCCUGCCUUUUGCUUAAUGAGCCUGCGAGUUACUGUAUGUUGCAAGGUUAAGUGUCUCUGAUACGGAGCCGUAGCGAAAGCGAGUGUGAAAGUGCGACAUAGUAAUAUGCAGUAGACCCGAAGCCAAGUGAUCUAUCCAUGGCCAGGAUGAAGCACAUGUAAAAAUGUGUGGAGGUCCGAACUAGUUGAGGUUGAAAACUCUUUAGAUGAGCUGUGGAUAGGGGCGAAAGACCAAUCAAACUUGGUGAUAGCUGGUUCUCUCCGAAAUAGUUUUAGGACUAGCCUUAAGUAAUUAGUGCACAGGGGUAAAGUACUGAAUGGACUAGGGGCCCUACCAGGUUACCGAAUCCAAUCAAACUCUGAAUACUGUGUACCGUAUCUUAGGAGUCAGACUACGGGGGCUAAGCUCCGUGGUCGAAAGGGAAACAGCCCAGACCGUCAACUAAGGUCCCAAAGUAUAUGUUAAGUGGUUAAGGUUGUGAAGUUGCAUAGACAGCCAGGAUGUUGGCUUAGAAGCAGCCAUCAUUUAAAGAGUGCGUAAUAGCUCACUGGUCGAGUGAUUUUGCGCCGAAAAUGUCCGGGGCUAAACAUAUCACCGAAGUUACGGAUUAUGUGUUUUUUACACAUAGUGGUAGGAGAGCGUUCUUUGUUGGCUGAAGCUAUACCGUGAGGAGUAGUGGACGACAAAGAAGUGAUUAUGCAGGCAUGAGUAGCUAGAACACAGGUGAGAAUCCUGUGCGCCGAAAGUCCAAGGGUUCCUAGGGAAGGUUUAUCCUCCUAGGGUUAGUCGGUCCUAAGCCGAGGCCGAAAGGCGUAGGCGAUGGAUAACAGGUUAAUAUUCCUGUACUGCUUUAAAGCGUUUGAGUGAUGGAGUGACACAGAAGGCUAAACAAGCCUCCGAUCGGAAGUGGAGGUAUAAGCUCGUAGGGAGAGUUUCUAGGCAAAUCCGGAAACUUGUUAAUCCUGAGAAGUUAUGUGGAGUUCGAUCCUUAGGGAGAGAACGAAGUUGUUGACGCCAUGCUGGCAAGAAAACCUUCUAGCGAGUUUUGAAGCAUCCGUACCCGAAACCGACACAGGUGGACGGGGAGAGAAUCCUAAGGCGUCCGAGAGAAUGCUCGUUAAGGAACUCGGCAAAAUGGCCCCGUAACUUCGGGAGAAGGGGUCCCUUUUUUUGUGAAAAGCCUUGCGCUUGGAGCGAAGAGAGGGCGCAGAAAUCGGCCCAAGCGACUGUUUAUCAAAAACAUAGGUCUCUGCUAAAUUGUUAAGAUGAUGUAUAGGGACUGACACCUGCCCGGUGCUGGAAGGUUAAGAGGGUGAGUUAGCUUCGGCGAAGCUCAGAAUUGAAGCCCCAGUAAACGGCGGCCGUAACUAUAACGGUCCUAAGGUAGCGAAAUUCCUUGUCGGGUAAGUUCCGACCUGCACGAAUGGUGUAACGAUUUGGGCACUGUCUCAACGAGUAUCUCGGUGAAAUUGCAGAAUUGGUGAAGAUGCCAAUUACCUACGAAAAGACGGAAAGACCCCGUGAACCUUUACUAUAACCUGAUAUUGGUAUUUGAUAUAACAUGUGUAGGAUAGGUGGGAGACUUUGAAGUUGGAGCGCUAGCUUCGAUGGAGUCAUCCUUGAAAUACCACCCUUGUUAUGUUAGGUCUCUAACCAUGGACCGUAAUCCGGUUCUGGAACAGUGUCAGGCGGGUAGUUUAACUGGGGCGGUUUCCUCCUAAAGAGUAACGGAGGAGCGCGAAGGUCCUCUCAAUGCGGUUGGCUAUCGCAUGUUGAGUGUAAACGCAAAAGAGGGCUUAACUGCGAGACAGACGAGUCGAGCAGAUAGGAAACUAGGUGUUAGUGAUCCGGUGGUUGCUUGUGGAAGUGCCAUCGCUCAACGGAUAAAAGGUACUCCGGGGAUAACAGGCUUAUCCUCCCCAAGAGUUCAUAUCGACGGGAGGGUUUGGCACCUCGAUGUCGGCUUGUCGCAUCCUGGGGCUGAAGAAGGUCCCAAGGGUUUGGCUGUUCGCCAAUUAAAGCGGCACACGAGCUGGGUUCAGAACGUCGUGAGACAGUUCGGUCCCUAUCUUUCGUAGGCGUAGGAAAUUUGAGAGGAGCUGUUCUUAGUACGAGAGGACCAGAAUGGACGAACCUCUGGUGUACCAGUUGUUUUGCCAAGAGCAUCGCUGGGUAGCCAAGUUCGGAAGGGAUAAGCGCUGAAAGCAUAUAAGCGCCAAGCCCACCUCAAGAUUAGAUUUCCCUUCGUCAUAAGACGACCUAAGACACCUUAGAGAGAAUGAGGUUGAUAGGCUAGAUGUGUAAGUAUAGUGAUAUAUUUAGCUUACUAGUACUAAUAUGUCGGGAGGCUUGAUCUUAU